rnacentral:rRNA from 1 species
CGUGUAGGCGGUCAGGUAAGUGGAAUGUGAAAUGCCCCGGCUCACCCGGGGACGUGCAUCCCAAACUGCCUGGCUUGAGUAUGGGAGAGGAUGGAGGAAUUCCUGGUGUAGCGGUGAAAUGCGUAGAUAUCAGGAGGAACACCGGUGGCGAAGGCGUCCAUCUGGCCCAAUACUGACGUUGAGGCGCGAAAGCUAGGGGAGCGAACGGGAUUAGAUACCCCGGUAGUCCUAGCCGUAAACGGUGAUCACUAGGUGUUGGGGGCAUCGACCCCUCCAGUGCCGCAGCUAACGCAUUAAGUGAUCCGCCUGGGGAGUACGGCCGCAAGGUUGAA